rnacentral:rRNA from 1 species
UGCCUACGGGAGGCAGCAGUGGGGAAUUUUGCGCAAUGGGGGAAACCCUGACGCAGCAACGCCGCGUGCGGGACGAAGGCCCUCGGGUUGUAAACCGCUUUCAGCAGGGAAGAUCCAAGACGGUACCUGCAGAAGAAGCUCCGGCUAACUACGUGCCAGCAGCCGCGGUAAUACGUAGGGGGCAAGCGUUAUCCGGAUUUACUGGGUGUAAAGGGAGCGUAGACGGAAAGGCAAGUCAGAAGUGAAAGCCCAAGGCUCAACCAUGGGACUGCUUUUGAAACUGUCAAACUAGAGUACGGGAGAGG